rnacentral:rRNA from 1 species
GAUGAACGCUGGCGGCGUGCCUAAUACAUGCAAGUCGAGCGAACAGACGAGGAGCUUGCUCCUCUGACGUUAGCGGCGGACGGGUGAGUAACACGUGGAUAACCUACCUAUCAGACUGGGAUAACUUCGGGAAACCGGAGCUAAUACCGGAUAAUAUAUUGAACCGCAUGGUUCAAUAGUGAAAGACGGUUUUGCUGUCACUUAUAGCUGGAUCCGCGCCGCAUUAGCUAGUUGGUAAGGUAACGGCUUACCAAGGCAACGAUGCGUAGCCGACCUGAGAGGGUGAUCGGCCACACGGGAACGGAGACACGGUCCAGACUCCUACGGGAGGCAGCAGUAGGGAAUCUUCCGCAAUGGGCGAAAGCCUGACGGAGCAACGCCGCGUGAGUGAUGAAGGUCUUCGGAUCGUAAAACUCUGUUAUGAGGGAAGAACAAAUGUGGAAGUAACUAUGCACGUCUUGACGGUACCUAAUCAGAAAGCCACGGCUAACUACGUG